rnacentral:rRNA from 1 species
CAGUCGCCACGGUAAUACGAAGGGGGCUAGCGUUGCUCGGAAUUACUGGGCGUAAAGGGAGCGUAGGCGGACAUUUAAGUCAGGGGUGAAAUCCCGGGGCUCAACCUCGGAAUUGCCUUUGAUACUGGGUGUCUUGAGUAUGAGAGAGGUAUGUGGAACUCCGAGUGUAGAGGUGAAAUUCGUAGAUAUUCGGAAGAACACCAGUGGCGAAGGCGACAUACUGGCUCAUUACUGACGCUGAGGCUCGAAAGCGUGGGGAGCAAACAGGAUUAGAUACCCCGGUAGUCCCUGUCUCUUAUAC